rnacentral:rRNA from 1 species
CAAUAGCGUAUAUUAAAGUUGUUGCAGUUAAAAAGCUCGUAGAUGGAUUUGUGGCGUACGGUGUGUUCCGGGCACUUGUUGUCUGAGUAACCUGCUGUUGCCAUCCUUGGGUGGAACCUGUGUGGCAUUAGGUUGUCGUGCAGGGGAUGCCCAUCAUUUACUGUGAAAAAAUUAGAGUGUUCAAAGCAGGCUUAUGCCGUUGAAUAUAUUAGCAUGGAAUAAUGAGAUAGGACUUUUUUGCUAUUUUGUUGGUUUGCGCAAAGAGGUAAUGAUUAAUAGGGACAGUUGGGGGUAUUCGUAUUCCAUUGUCAGAGGUGAAAUUCUUGGAUUUUUGGAAGACGAACUACUGCGAAAGCAUUUACCAAGGAUGUUUUCAUUAA